UACGGAGGGAGCGAACGUCGCUCGGAUUUACUGGGCGUAAAGGGUGUGUAGGCGGUCUUGCAAGUCAGGGGUGAAAUCUCUCGGCUCAACCGAGAAACUGCCUUUGAGACUGCAGGACUUGAGGGCGUGAGAGGAGACUGGAAUUCCUAGUGUAGCGGUGAAAUGCAUAGAUAUUAGGAGGAACACCAGUGGCGAAGGCGAGUCUCUGGCACGCAUCUGACGCUGAAACACGAAAGCCAGGGGAGCGAACGGG
rnacentral:rRNA from 1 species